GCCCCGGUGGUGAAAUUGGUAGACACAGCGGACUUAAAAUCCGCCGCUGCCCGAAAAGGCGCGUGCCGGUUCAAUCCCGGCCCGGGGUACCA
rnacentral:tRNA from 1 species